UGGGGAAUAUUGCACAAUGGGCGCAAGCCUGAUGCAGCGACGCCGCGUGAGGGAUGACGGCCUUCGGGUUGUAAACCUCUUUCACCAGGGACGAAGCGCAAGUGACGGUACCUGGAGAAGAAGCACCGGCCAACUACGUGCCAGCAGCCGCGGUAAUACGUAGGGUGCGAGCGUUGUCCGGAAUUACUGGGCGUAAAGAGCUCGUAGGUGGUUUGUCGCGUUGUUCGUGAAAACUCACAACUCAAUUGUGGGCGUGCGGGCGAUACGGGCAGACUAGAGUACUGCAGGGGAGACUGGAAUUCCUGGUGUAGCGGUGGAAUGCGCAGAUAUCAGGAGGAACACCGGUGGCGAAGGCGGGUCUCUGGGCAGUAACUGACGCUGAGGAGCGAAAGCGUGGGGAGCGAACAGGAUUAGAUACCCUGGUAGUCCACGCCGUAAACGGUGGGUACUAGGUGUGGGUUCCUUCCUUGGGAUCCGUGCCGUAGCUAACGCAUUAAGUACCCCGCCUGGGGAGUACGGCCGCAAGGCUAAAACUCAAAAGGAAUUGACGGGGGUCAUAGCUGUUUCCU
rnacentral:rRNA from 1 species